rnacentral:misc_RNA from 1 species
CAACCCUUAAGCCCUGUUGCUUAGUGUUGGGAGUCUAGGCCUUCCGGGCCUAGUUCCUCAAAGUCAUUGGCGGAGUUAGGGUAUACUCUGAGCGUAGUAGUGUUCUUCUCGCUUUUGCAGUAGCCCUGGCGGCUGGCCGUAAAACCCCUAUAUCUUUUAGU